rnacentral:rRNA from 1 species
UUGCCUACGGGAGGCAGCAGUGGGGGGUAUUGCACAAUGGGGGAAACCCUGAUGCAGCGACGCCGCGUGGGCGAAGAAGUAUUUCGGUAUGUAAAGCCCUAUCAGCAGGGAAGAAGAAAUGACGGUACCGAAUGAAUAAGCCACGGCUAACUACGUGUCAGCAGCCGCGGUAAUACGUAUGGUGCAAGCGUUAUCCGGAUUUACUGGGUGUAAAGGGAGCGCAGGCGGCACGGCAAGCCUGAUGUGAAAGCCCGCGGCCCAACCGCGGGACUGCAUUGGGAACUACCGGGCUGGAGUGCCGGCGG